CAGACGGACACGCGCGCCCGGGUGCGGGGCCGGGGGCCGCCCCGCCGCACUUUGCACCUGUUCACCCAGCGCUCAUGAAAAAUGCAUCCAGCUCCCAGCCCGAGCGAAGGAGGUCCCGGUGCAGGCAGAUCCCAGCGGGAGGCAAAACGAGUCUGGUAGAAGCUCCUCUUAUCCUUCCACUGUACGUGAUCAGUCUCUUUAAUAAUUGUGCAAGGCAGGACUAUCCCACUGGCUCCAGCAGCGUCUUACCCGGAGAGGGUUCGGGCGGAUAAAUAAUUAAAAUCCUAUCCCUUGGCUUAGCGAAGAGAGAAGAAAAAUAUUGACUCGGAUCCUUCUUCUUUUCCAUACAUCGGCUGCACCCGGAUUCGCUCUGGAUAGUGCAGGUGAAGGUGGGGGGGCGAAAGGAAAGGAAAGAGGGGGAAAAAAGCUCCCCCUCCUCGUCCCCGGCUGCCUGCUCGGAAGGCUUUUCUGUCUCUGUCCUGGCGGGCUGCGCCUCUCCCUGAAGCCGCCUCGCCGCGCAGGAUGGAGGAAGCACUGAAGGGCAAACGGGUCUCUCUGCUCCCCCUUUAUUCCAAGGCUGGGCGGCUCUGCUUUAGAUAUCCCCGCUCCGGGCAUGAAGGUACUGGAAAGAAAGAAAGUUCUUACCUGCUAUUUUCUAAGCCUAAUACAUCCGAUCCGGGUUUUAAGGACAUAUUUUUUAAUUAUAGGGGCGGGGGGGUGGGUGAGGGGGAAAUGGUCUGUGAGCAUUUCAAUUCCUCAUGUUCGGUCCCAUUAAAUUUUCAGAUGCCGUUUUAGGAUUUUUUCCUGUUUAUUUACUUAGCAAUCCCAGCAGAUGAAGAGAGAAAAAGAAAAAAAAAAAAAAAAGGAACACCAGAUUGUGUAGGCGACAGGCUCGGAUAUUGGACCAGAGGAGAGAGAGAUCAGUCCCAGGAGGAUGUUGGUAAAGGAAAGGAGGCGGCUCUCGGUCGCUCUGCCAGUGUAAUGAUGGUGCUCACACAUGUAGGACUCCUCGGGUGCGGGGUAUCCUUUGCUCUCUGGGCUAAACUGGCUACAAGGCAUUCAAAAACACCGCCACGGAAGCAAGCGAAGCUGGGAGACGACUGUUGUUUAAAAGCAGCCCGCUGAAGGAUGUUUGUGUUGCCAAAACCUUUCCCGGCAUCUGUAAAAUCUGAGAGGACAAGCUGGCACAAUAGGCUGAGAAAAGUAGGACUUAGAGAUAACCCAAGCAGAAUUGACAGGGUUUAAUUACACAGACUGGAAUCUCCUUGAAGUGAAAAAGGCUUGUACAGACCUUCCUUCUGUCAAGACUUCCAGUGACACCCCAUUACUCAGCUUGAAGAGAAAGGGAGUGUGUCGGUCCUUCAGUGCCAUGGACUGAGACUCUUCUGUUCCGCAUUCUGCAGAACCCACUUGCCUUUGUCAGGAAAUGAAAGUUUCUGUCCUCGGGUUUGGAGACAGCCUUACUAUGGCAAAUCUGUGCCUGGCUGGAUUGUUUGCUCUGCAGCCAGCCCAAAACAAUACACCACCAACAGAUGUGUGAACUUUUCCAUUCAGUGUAAUGAAGUGUUAGUUGCAAAACAGAAUUUUGUCGAUUUAAAUUGCCUCAUGUGCAUCGGGCUGUGAAAGAGGUUUAAAAUAAAUCAUGAAUAAGUUAUAAAUAUUGUAUUUUUGGAAUUAUCAGCUCUUUAAGUCCACUGGCAACAGAAAGCGAAAGCUUAGGCAGAAAGUGGCCUGAUGUCUCCCGUUAAAGUUACCAGUGGUUUUGGAUGAAAUUACAGUAUUUUGAUGACAAAGCACCGAGUCCAUAGAAAAAGCUGAGAAGACACAAGUUUUUAAAACUUGCUGAAAAAAAAAGAGAAGGCUUUGGGCUGAAAUCGAUCGUUCAACUUCUGGCAAAGAAGAAUAUUGAGAAAAUGUGCACCGCAUUUCAGCAUAGUGUUUGAUAUGGAGUUGUUGGAUGGUUGAAAGUAGCUUUUGAGGGUAAGAAUUUUCUAUCAGUAGUUUUUUUUCUCCGACAUAGUUAGAAAAAUAAUUUUGAUGCUUCUAACUUGCCAUGUGCAUGAGUUACAACUCCGCUUUCUGUGCAGACUGAAAAUCUUCCUUGCUGAACCGAGAGAAGAUGCAGUUAGGGAUAAAGAAACCACAGCUCCCAAUGAUUUACUUUAAACUGUGUGCCUGCUAGCACUUUUUGUCUUUCCUGGAGAGAAUUUCAGUGGAAGUCUAUUGUCGCGUUCUUUACAGCCCUGUGAUGGCAGCGCCAAGGAGUACUGCCAGCCUUAAUGCUGGUAGAGACAGAAGUCAAUGUUAGUGCACUGCAUGGGCUUGUCUGCUGCCUUCCCUUGGUCUCACAUGCUUGACAAAAUCCCCUGACUGGCUGAAUAAUCAGUCACCUCAUUACGUUUGAGGAGGUGGGACUCUGCUGUGACACAGCUUUCAUGAGAAAAUAGUCACCAUUCCAUCUACUAGUAUUACUGGCAAAGGAUCACUCUAGAAAGAUGUUCUUAAUAUUAACUCCAAGGUGUUUGCUGCUCAAAAGAUCAGAAACUAGAGGUGGAUACUUGGUAGUGUUAAUGUAUGAAAACUGCAAGCAAAUGAACACCUCUUGAUUUUUAAUUUACCUACUGAGUGAAUUAUCAUGGAGCAAAGCCUAAACUUUACAUUAUUGUUGGAUAUAAAUGUUUCCUGCAAGUUUUCUUUUGUUUCAAAUUCCAAUAUUCCUCUCUAUUUUUUUCAUCAGGUUUUGGUCAGUUACUGCUGGAGUUUGGAAAAUUAAGAAGAGGUAGACCAAGGCAGUGACUCAAAGAUGGAUUAUAGGAACAUACUAGAUGAUUGCUAAAUCUUUGGGGGAAAGAGGCUGUAUGUUCCUGGAUUUAUAAAGAAAUGGAAGCAUGGUGACGUAAUUCUGGUUAGGAUCUUUGAACAAAGAGUGGUCUUGGUGAUGCUGAUGAGAGUAAUAUUGGGAUAUAUUCCAUCUUUGCCUCUUAACGAUCUUGUUUGGAGACAUUUGGAAUCUCUUAUGGAAAAUACUCAAACUCACUCUCCCUUACCGCACUUAAAAAAAUUCAGUCUCGGCUUCAUUCUACAAAGCUGCUUUGCUUUAAGUAGCAGUUCUGCAAACCAUAACUUCACAUAUUUCUUUUACUUUAUGCUUUAUUACUAAGAAUAUUUGCAUGAAAACAGGAUCUUUGUUUAAAAGUUCCUGCUUCUUAUUCAUCACAGCUCAUUGGGUUGGAAGCAAUUACAGUACCCUCUACAGAAGGCUCUGAUCCCUUCAGAGCAGGAAAAUAUAAGCAG